GUUUACUAUUAUGUGGUCAUGAGGAAAUAAUGAACAAAGUAUAUUUUGUCAAAAAGAAAAAUAAGGAACAAAAUAUAGAAGAAUAAGUAAAGAACUGAAAGGUUCAUAAGCCACUGUUGACGAAACGCUUCAUUAAAAAAGAAAAUAAACUCUUAUUCACAAGCAUUAUGUUUGAAUAUCAUCCCAACAGCAAGAAGCCAUAAACAAUAACUGGAAGGGAACAAGAGU
rnacentral:misc_RNA from 1 species